rnacentral:lncRNA from 1 species
UGGUUUGAGUUUAGAGUCUAUGAUUUGGGUUUAGGAUAUAGGGUUUGGGUUUAGGGUUUACGGUUUGGGUUUAGGGUUUAGAAUUUGGGUUUAGGAUAUAGGGUUUAGGAUAUAGGGUUUACGGUUUGGGUUUAGGGUUUAGGAUUUAGGUUUAGGGUUUAGGGUAUAGAUUUAAAGUUUAGAGUGCAGUUAGUGGCGUUAACAUCAUUAAAAUUGGCGUUAUUAUAUUUUUUCAAUUAUUUCAGAUUUUUUAAAAUAAAAUUAAGAGAAAAAGACAAAAAUAACACUAAAUCAACUUUUUGUUCCCAAACUAGCACUCAAGGUCAAAAGUCACAAAAAUAACACUUAAUGUUUUAUCAAAAGUCACAAACUUAGGGUUUAGAGUUAAAAGGUGGGGUUUAGGAUUUAGGGUUUAGGGUUUAGGAUUUAGAUUUUAGGGUUUAGGGUUUAGAGUUUAGGGUUUAGAGUUUAGGGUUUAGGGUUUAGAGUUUAGGGUUUAUGGUUUAGGGUUUAGGGUUUAGAGUUUAGGGUUUAGGGUUUAGUGUUGAAAAAUGAGGUUUUGGGAUAAGAUUUCAAAUUUUGAAAAAUAAAAAAAUUAAAAUUUUUAAAGGAUAAACUUAGAAAUGUGCUAUUUUGGUCAUUUUAGUUUUUGAGUGCUAUUUUUGUGAUAUAAACUUAGAAAUGUGCUAUUUUGGAGAUUUUCUCUAAAAUUAAUCUAUUUUAUUAUUAAUCUAGGUGGUAUUUUGAUUAGUAAUAAGAGGAGAAAUGAAUUUAAAGGUUCAUUCUAGAAUAACCUAAAUCUUGUUCAU